AUUCCGUGUUGUGGGCAUUUCCGUAGCAUCUCUUUGUAUCUUUCCCAUGUCUCAUACAAAGAUUCAGACUCCAAUCGAUGAAAGGAAGAGAUAUCUCUUCAGAGCUU